UACGUAGGUGGCAAGCGUUAUCCGGAAUUAUUGGGCGUAGAGCGCGCGCAGGUGGUUUCUUAAGUCUGAUGUGAAAGCCCACGGCUCAACCGUGGAGGGUCAUUGGAAACUGGGAGACUUGAGUGCAGAAGAGGAAAGUGGAAUUCCAUGCGUAGCGGUGAAAUGCGUAGAGAUAUGGAGGAACACCAGUGGCGAAGGCGACUUUCUGGUCUGUAACUGACACUGAGGCGCGAAAGCGUGGGGAGCAAACAGGAUUAGAUACCCCUGUAGUCC
rnacentral:rRNA from 1 species